rnacentral:lncRNA from 1 species
AAGAAACUACGAGUUGUUAACUUUGUGAGGGCCAUGGAAAUUUGCUAAAUGGAAUGCCUCAAGUUCUAGGAUUUGAACAAAUUAAUUAAAUGAGGUCCAUGCAAUUGUCAUUUUUGUUUGGCAUGAUGCACCCCAAUUUCGGAGGGCCACAAUUAUUUGUAUUAUCUAAUAUGGAACACCUCCUCUAAUUAAUGAUCUUAAUUUGCUAGAGCUAAAUGUUAUUGAAAGUUUUACUUGAACUAACUAAGGGAUCACAUGAGAAAAGACUAAUUAUUUUAAGUAAAGGGACCAGCCCAGCACAAAACGGACCAAAGGCCCAACUGAUAAAGCCUAGUUCGAAUAGCCAUUGAUGUAGGCUUAAUAUGUGAAAAUACUAGGCUCCAGAUGAAGCCUAGCUCACCGGUGUGAUAUCCAAAGAGCUAUGGUUGGAUUUGGGCCAAUGAUGACGGCCUAACACAUGCUUCAACAGAUAUAUUUGGGGCCAUGAUGAAUUAUAAUUUAAGAUAAAGUAUAAUUAAAACUUAAAUAAAUUAGUAGGAACACACCACGGGAAUUAGCUAGGAAACUUUAUACAUUAUUCAACAUUAACCACAUUGAGAAUUCAAAACCACAGUUUGACUGCAGAAAAUGCCAAAGUGACAAGGAUCCCUGCUAUUUUUAUCACAUGCUAUCUGAAUUUUGGCAAUCUACCUUGCUGAUGAUAACACUAAGUGCAUUCUACGUUUAACCAUUACUACUCAAAUUACCUACUGGGCUAUAGACCUCCCAACAACAAACUUCAACGAGCAACUCAAGUCGUCAAAUCCAAACCUCAAUGAAGGAUGCAAAAUUUAAAUUACAAUAUAUGUUAACAACAACACCUAUCACAUCCCAUCAUAACAGUCCCAAUACACAAUUACUUAAAGAGGAGUUUAAUUAGUCUAGAAUCAAAACAACAUGCAAAAUUCAAGCACACAUCUCAAAACUCACUGCAUAUCUGUGACUAAAUACAAUAUUGUUCAGAUAAUUAGUCUAAUCUAAGCAGAGAUACAUAUGAGCAGGUCCUUCAUUAUCAACUACAGGGCUAUCCUUUACAUCCCUCAUGUUCUUAAGCGUUGAAACAUACCUGGAAAUGAAAGUCAAAUGGUGUGAGAUUUAGCACUAGCAACAACACUAUCCAACAACAUAAAUGAACCAGGAAAACAACUUUUAAACCAUAAAGUGAUGCUCAACAGUCAAAAGUUCACAACCAAAACUUCAAAAACCAACUGUUAAAACACCAGCCUCGAAUCAACUCAACCCUGAUAGCUCAUAAACCAUUUCAUGAAUUGGAAAUUGAGGAGAUAAAUGAAACAACGACUCCAACAAAUUUCAAAACCAAGACCCCUUCUAUAGCACCCAAAAUAAACCAAGUUUAAUCCAUUUCAACCUCAAGCUAUUCAGAAAAUUAUUUCAGAAAGUGACGGCUUCAGAAAUCAAAAGAAAACAACUCAAUGAAAUAAUAGAAAAUCUUUCGUUUGGUAUUUUUCUAGAUUUCUAUCCCUGAACCCUCUUGCAAGCCAAGAAUAAGGUACCUUUAUAGGCAAGCAAAUAUGGCAGACCCUAGGAUUUUAACUCUG